GGGAAGGCAGCAGACAGCUGUCUUCCAUUUUGAACAGAACCAAUGAUUUGUCUGCAGUAUUAAGUCAUUCAAACAUUAUUGGGAUUUUAAAAAUAGAGCCCUAUGGCUGUUGACAAACCCCGAAGCUGCAGGAAGAUAAGAAUAGUGCGCCUACCUGAAUCCAUUGAGGGACUGCACCCUACUGCUUUCUUCACUGAGCUGCUCCAUACACUCUUGGGCGAAGAGGUCCUGACCGUCCUGCCAUCUCUGCCGGAGCUAGACCAAGCACAGGUCCCUCACAGCCAAACCACUACCAAGGGAGAAGCCCAAGGCUGUAUCAUACCUUUCUAUUGUUAUCAGGAGAAGUACAGAGUCUGUCUAUACAGUCUGUGAUGCUUGAAGGUGGAGCGGGGAGCUUCCAUGCAAGGGCAGAUGCAUUAAAAACUUCAACCCAGAGGUGCUGGAGCAAGGCAGCACAUACAGGGAAUGAGGGAAGUAAUGACAAAGAUCCCAAACAGUGAUUCAAGCCCACUCUUCUUGAUCCCUCGAGGUUCCAGAUUGCGGGUUUAAUAUGCUUGACUUUGUUUAAAUGUAAACUGGCCGUUCUAAAUGUUUCCUUGGGCAGUACCAGCCCUAUCGAUCAGCUGCUAUAUCAUACACUCUUUCCAAAUCUUUAGAUGAAUCCUUUUCUGUCUUAGAGUACAAGAGGCCAUUAAAUCUGCAGACUGGCAAAUCUCUGGAACCAAAGGGACACUCUGGAAUUUUAUAAGACGUUCUCUGUCACUGUUCCCCAGUAUUAAGAGUAUUUAAUGAUGCAUACUUAAAGGGGAACUUACCACCGUCUAUAGGUGCAACUACAUUUUAAAAGCAAGACCAAAAAACACAACCUGUAAUUACAGCAGCAACUUUCCAGCACACUGAUGGGUAUCCAACAAACUGUUUUGACACUUGUUUUCAUAAUUUACAUGUCUUCAUUUAUUUUUUAUAACAUUUUGUUAUUUUCUUAAUAUUCACCACAAGUUAAACUAAAGAUGAUGGUGGCCUACAACAGCAGACCAAACAUGGCAGGUCAACAAACUACAGUAUACAUUCUACAAGUUUGGUUUUGCUAUCUGUGUUGCUUCAUUCAACCAUUUGGCAACAUGUGAUAGAAUGGUGAGUAACGAGUGCCAUGUGGCUCCUCAUACACAUUGAUAAUUUAAUGCCUACAAUCUAAUCUACAUCAAUAAUUUAAUGUCUGAUAAGAGAUUGUGAUACCUAAACACUGAACACUUUUUGGAUGGAUUACGGCCUAUUCCUCUUAAUGAGAGAUGUGGCCAGCCAGUCAGAUGAGUGAUAAUGGUUAAGUAUGGACAUGUGUUUUCUUAAUAUGGCUACACUACACACUUACAGACCUAAACUAAGCCCCCUAUUUGAUAGAAGACUGUGAUUGAAUUGAGAUUAGAUUUCCUGGUGGCAUGACUUCAGCUUGUACUGAAAAUAAAAAAGGUAUAGUGUUAGGAAAGGAACCUAUUCUAUUUUGGUGUUGUAUAGCACGAUUUCAUCAAUAAAUUGUAUGAAAUGUAUUCCCCUCUCAUGGAUGGUAGUUGAACAUGCAAAUCAAUGAAAUGGUUAUUUUUC